rnacentral:miRNA from 1 species
ACUCAUUUGAGACGAUGAUGGA